AGCCACCAGGAAGCAUAGAGCUGAAGGAGGUCCUUUUCUCCUCAGCCAGGACUGGAGGCCAAAAUCAGCCCUUGAGAGUCAUUGUCGUUGGGGCCGCCAUGAGCUGGGAAGCCGUGUUUUCCUACCCCAGACAUUU
rnacentral:snoRNA from 1 species